CCACAGCUCCAACAGCACGAAACAGACCCAAGUAGACCACCACAUCGGCGGCGGCCACGUAAAGGUCAGCUCCAACCUGGCAGUCAGCCCUUCUGCGCCCUUAGACCAACAGCCACAACCCCUCCAUCCGGGACGCCAACGAGAGCUCACGGGUCCCAGUGCAUAUCGGGAAGYGGCACUAGAGRCAACAGAAAGUCCACGCAACCUACCGGCAAGCAGGUAACAACCAUCCACGUCAGAGGGGAGCACCCUCAAGCCCGGCCUCCGCCUCAGCGAACUGCAACGCAUCGAACACAAGGCAAGAGAGCGGCAAACUGAGCAAGCCGCCACAUCCCACGCCGUGCCGUGCGCCACAAGCUCAGGAUGCGUCAGCACAGGUUCAAGACACGGCUCCACUGACCGCUUCUCAGCAAUGAGACACG
rnacentral:rRNA from 1 species